rnacentral:rRNA from 1 species
UGGGGAAUUUUGCGCAAUGGGCGAAAGCCUGACGCAGCAACGCCGCGUGAGUGAUGAAGGCUUUCGGGUCGUAAAGCUCUGUCAAGGGGAAAGAAGUGUAUUAUGGUUAAUACCCAUGAUGCUUGACGGUACCCCUAAAGGAAGCACCGGCUAACUACGUGCCAGCAGCCGCGGUAAUACGGGGGGUGCAAGCGUUGUUCGGAAUUAUUGGGCGUAAAGCGCGUGUAGGCGGGUUGUUAAGUCUGAUGUGAAAGCCCCGGGCUCAACCUGGGAAGGUCAUUGGAAACUGGCAGACUUGAAUACGGGAGAGGGUAGUGGAAUUCCUGGUGUAGGAGUGAAAUCCGUAGAUAUCAGGAGGAACACCGGUGGCGAAGGCGGCUGCCUGGACCGAUAUUGACGCUGAGACGCGAAAGCGUGGGUAGCAAACA